GUGGGGAAUCUUCCGCAAUGGACGAAAGUCUGACGGAGCAACGCCGCGUGAGUGAAGAAGGUUUUCGGAUCGUAAAGCUCUUUCGUUAGGGACGAACGUGCUCUUUGUGAAUAAUGAGGAGUAAUGACGGUACCUAAAUAAGAAGCCACGGCUAACUACGUGCCAGCAGCCGCGGUAAUACGUAGGUGGCAAGCGUUGUCCGGAAUUAUUGGGCGUAAAGCGCGCGCAGGCGGGAUAUCAAGUCUGUCUUAAAAGUGCGAGGCUCAACCUCGUGAGGGGACAGAAACUGGUAUUCUUGAGUGUCGGAGAGGAAAGUGGAAUUCCAAGUGUAGCGGUGAAAUGCGUAGAGAUUUGGAAGAACACCAGUGGCGAAGGCGACUUUCUGGACGAUGUCUGACGCUGAGGCGCGAAAGCUAGGGGAGCGAACAGGAUUAGAAACCCGUGUAGUCC
rnacentral:rRNA from 1 species